UCCAGACUCCUACGGGAGGCAGCAGUGGGGGAUAUUGCACAAUGGGGGGAACCCUGAUGCAGCGACGCCGCGUGGGUGAAGGAGCGUUUCGGCGCGUAAAGCCCUAUCGGCAGGGAAGAAGGAGGACGGUACCUGACUAAAAAGCCCCGGCUAACUACGUGCCAGCAGCCGCGGUAAUACGUAGGGGGCAAGCGUUAUCCGGAUUUACUGGGUGUAAAGGGGGCGCAGACGGCAGCGCAAGCCAGGAGUGAAAGCCCGGGGCCCAACCCCGGGACUGCUCUUGGAACUGCGCGGCUGGAGUGCAGGAGGGGCAGGCGGAAUUCCUGGUGUAGCGGUGAAAUGCGUAGAUAUCAGGAGGAACACCGGUGGCGAAGGCGGCCUGCUGGACUGCGACUGACGUUGAGGCCCGAAAGCGUGGGGAGCAAACAGGAUUAGAUACCCCUGUAC
rnacentral:rRNA from 1 species